rnacentral:rRNA from 2 species
AUGCAAUCACAUCUAUCAUGCAGUCGAACGAACUCUGGUAUUGAUUGGUGCUUGCAUCAUGAUUUACAUUUGAGUGAGUGGCGAACUGGUGAGUAACACGUGGGAAACCUGCCCAGAAGCGGGGGAUAACACCUGGAAACAGAUGCUAAUACCGCAUAACAACUUGGACCGCAUGGUCCGAGCUUGAAAGAUGGCUUCGGCUAUCACUUUUGGAUGGUCCCGCGGCGUAUUAGCUAGAUGGUGGGGUAACGGCUCACCAUGGCAAUGAUACGUAGCCGACCUGAGAGGGUAAUCGGCCACAUUGGGACUGAGACACGGCCCAAACUCCUACGGGAGGCAGCAGUAGGGAAUCUUCCACAAUGGACGAAAGUCUGAUGGAGCAACGCCGCGUGAGUGAAGAAGGGUUUCGGCUCGUAAAACUCUGUUGUUAAAGAAGAACAUAUCUGAGAGUAACUGUUCAGGUAUUGACGGUAUUUAACCAGAAAGCCACGGCUAACUACGUGCCAGCAGCCGCGGUAAUACGUAGGUGGCAAGCGUUGUCCGGAUUUAUUGGGCGUAAAGCGAGCGCAGGCGGUUUUUUAAGUCUGAUGUGAAAGCCUUCGGCUCAACCGAAGAAGUGCAUCGGAAACUGGGAAACUUGAGUGCAGAAGAGGACAGUGGAACUCCAUGUGUAGCGGUGAAAUGCGUAGAUAUAUGGAAGAACACCAGUGGCGAAGGCGGCUGUCUGGUCUGUAACUGACGCUGAGGCUCGAAAGUAUGGGUAGCAAACAGGAUUAGAUACCCUGGUAGUCCAUACCGUAAACGAUGAAUGCUAAGUGUUGGAGGGUUUCCGCCCUUCAGUGCUGCAGCUAACGCAUUAAGCAUUCCGCCUGGGGAGUACGGCCGCAAGGCUGAAACUCAAAGGAAUUGACGGGGGCCCGCACAAGCGGUGGAGCAUGUGGUUUAAUUCGAAGCUACGCGAAGAACCUUACCAGGUCUUGACAUACUAUGCAAAUCUAAGAGAUUAGACGUUCCCUUCGGGGACAUGGAUACAGGUGGGUGCAUGAUGUCGUCAGCCUCGUGUUCGUGAGAUUGUUGGGCUAAGUCCCGCACGAAGCGCAAUCCCUAAUAAUCAGCUGCCAGGCAUCAGUGGUCACUCUGAUGGACCUGACCGGUGAACAAAACCCG